GGCGAUGUUUCAUUCAAAUUUCCUGCCCUAUCAACUUUCGACGGUAGGGUAGUGGCCUACCGUGGUGGUAACGGGUGACGGAGGAUUAGGGUUCGAUUCCGGAGAGGGAGCCUGAGAAACGGCUACCACAUCCAAGGAAGGCAGCAGGCGCGCAAAUUACCCAAAUCCCAACUCGGGGAGGUAGUGACAAGAAAUAACGAUGCUCCGGCCUCACGGUCGGGUAAUCGGAAUGAGAACAAUUUAAAUCCCUUAUCGAGGAUCAAUUGGAGGGCAAGUCUGGUGCCAGCAGCCGCGGUAAUUCCAGCUCCAAUAGCGUAUAUUUAAGUUGCUGCGGUUAAAAAGCUCGUAGUCGGAUUUCGGGUGGCGCCUACCGGUCCGCCUUUGGUGAGUACUGGUAGGUGCCACCUUUCUGCCGAGGACGGGGUACUGGGCUUAACUGUCUGGGCCCCGGAGUCGGCGAUGUCACUUUGAGUAAAUUAGGGUGUUCAAAGCAGGCUUAUGCUCUGUAUACACUAGCAUGGGAUGACACGAUAGGACUUCGGUUUAUCUUGUCGGUCUGUAGAUCGGAGUAAUGAUUAAGAGGGACAGUCGGGGGCAUUCGUAUUUCGUAGUCAGAGGUGAAAUUCUUGGAUUUACGGAAGACGAACUUCUGCGAAAGCAUUUGCCAAGGAUGUUUUCAUUGAUCAAGAACGAAAGUCGGGGGCUCGAAGACGAUUAGAUACCGUCGUAGUCUCGACCAUAAACGAUGC
rnacentral:rRNA from 1 species